GUAGCAAAGGAUGACCUAGCCGCCAACUCCUGAUCUCCUGAGUGUUGGGGGCGCGGUGAACGCUAUCCACUGCCCCCAGCACCAGAAAGUCACCUGCCUGUGAGAUUGCAGGACUCUCAGCAGCCAGAGGAGGCAGGAAAGACCCCCUUUGGGCCGAGGGAGCUGAGCCUGUUCCUAGCAGAAGGUGGAGGACCCUGAGCAGAUGGCAGCUGCCCUCGCCCGGACUGCUAUUCACAGAGGCUCAGUUUCAAAUGGCUUCCUCACCCGGAGUGGCAGCGUGCCCAGUCUCGCCUGCCAGGCCUGGUAGUUUCCCUCUGAGAGGACAGGACAGUCUGGGUCAUCAAGCAGGAACUGGUCUUGGAAGACACAUGCUUGCUGUUUUAUUGGCAUUGCUCCAGGGACUAGAGUCCAAACUAGUCCCCGGGAAGGCGUGUGGUGGGGGCCAGAGGGGCUGCCUGCCUCUGUUCGCCUGGUCUCGGAUGUGCUGUAGGUGUCUCUCCGGAAGUCUCUGGGCCUCGGUGUCUUCUGUAAAAAGCCGAGUUAGAGAUGCUGCUGUGGGUUUCCCCUUGAUGCCACUGACUAAUGUUCUGCUCUGUGUCUAGAAAGAAGGAGGCCAUCACUGACAUGCUGACUAGUGAUGCCUGCUCUGUGCUGAGAAGGGAAGAGAGCAUCACUAACUGUCUUAUUGAUGCCUGGCUUGUGCACAGAAUGGAGGGAACUAUUGGCUGGCAGAUUGAUUGCUAAUGCCUGUCCUGUGCAAAGCAUGGAAGGAAUCAUUCAUUCAUCAACUGAUGGUUGAUGUCUCCCCAAUGGGUGAUUGGUGAUGUCUGCAUGGAGGGACGAGGCAGUGUAGUUUUAUCUACUUACCAUCCUCACAAAAGCAUUCCAGGCCUUUCUGAGAAUUAGAGGCACAGUCC